GAGCAUUUUAAUGUGGUAUUUUAAUAGUUAAUUCCUCACAUUUUGCUUAGUUAAUUCCUUAACGAAUCGAUUUUUAACUCAAUUUCUAUUUUCUUAGGUACAUUGGAGUAAAUGAUGGUGAAAUGAGCAUUAGGUCCACACUUACCUAUAAAUGAUGGAGAAAAAUGGAAAUGUACUAAAAGGUCAAUUUUACACAUUUUCCUACUCCGGCUAGGAGAAACCAAGCCAAGCAAGGAAGAAGGAGCGGCCGCCUGACCAAAUGAACUCCAAAUGAGCUGAAACUUUCCAGAUCCAUUCUAGACAUCCUAAGGAUCGUUUCUUAUGAAGAGUGCCAGAGCUAGAAUUGAGCGGAAGACCUUCAAACAGUCAGCCCAAUUUCCUGCAGAAGCAAAACUGGAAAACUGGACCCGUAAGGAGUCCAGCAGAGAUUCUGGCCCAAAGGCAUGGAAAUAAAUUCUGAAAUUUUACCAAAAUGAUCUACACUCAUGGUAGAUCAUUUCAUAUGAAGAAGUCAAGAGCCAAAAAUGAAUUCCUGUUGGAGAAAUAAUUGAAGGAAUAAAGGGGCAGAAAUUGACCUAAAACCAGCUCAAUAUUCACAUGUUCAUGUUUCCUACCCACAUGAAGAAAGCUAGAUGCUUUUCUCUUUUUCCUUGGAUAUAUUUUUCUGCUCCAAUAGAUCAUCAUCACUUCCAUACUUCUGCACAUUCAUGCCUUGCUUUCAUUUCAUCAUUACUCCAUCUUUUCCAUAUUUUACAAACCACUUUCAUUAUUUUUCUUCCAUUUAUCAUUUCACUCUUCUUUUUCUUCCCUAUAUAAACACCUUCUCCUCUCACUCUAAAAAAAUUCCUUCAUCCAUUUCAUCUUCUUUGUCUCUCCAUUUCCAUUCCAUUUUUCUCUCCAUUCUCUAGUUGCAAAAUUCUGCGUUUUCAAGUAAGAAGAAGAAGAAGAAGAAUGAGCCGGGAAUAUCAUAUCCUCCAUCGUCCACCUUGAAGGCUUGCUUCCAAGAUUCAAGAUUUCAACGUUUCAAGCACUCCAUCUCCAUCUCCAACUCACGGUGUGUACCCUCAAUUCCCGGAAUAGAACGAUCCCUAUUUGCUUAUACUACUAACGAUGUUUUCAGGGUUAAAUUAUGCGCUUGCUUUGAGCUUAUCAAUUUUUGGCGCCGUUGCCGGGGAUUGAAAAAUCACUUGUUUUUGUUUAUAAUUGUUGUAUAUAAACUGUUUGAUACUUAGUUUAAAUUAACUAGGUUGUUUUUUUUAUUGUUAAAUACGAGUUUAAUUGUGAGUUGUAAAUUAAAGAAGGAAUAGGUGAAGUCGUGUUUAUUAAUAUUGGCCUAAACCCCUUAUUGGUACCUAGUUCAGGUCCCUUAAGGUUGAGGGCGGCCUUUAUUAACAUUCAUUGAACUGUCUAACACACUUAGGACCUUUUACAUCCUAGUAAGAAUAUCCUAUGUGAGAUGGUGUCUAGGAAGGGGAUAACGUUCAUGACGGGUUUUUGAAUCCAGAAGUGCUUAUAAAUGGGCUUAGCUCAUGCCAAAAUGGAUUUUUCCUCUCGUGUUCACCCUCCCCUACCUGGCCAUUUCAGUAAGGUUGCCCAACGGAUGUAGGAGGGACUUUGUGUCUAGACGACUAUACUUGGGCCGCACGUCCACUUGAUUUACCGCUUGGAAUUAGAUUUGAUAUCAAUAAUGUUUAUAACAAAAGAAAUACUUGUGCAUACUCUUUACGUGUAAAUUAUUUUGUUGUUUCACACUUUAUACUUGUAAAAAUACUUUUUACGUUUUAUACUCACUUGUGUACUUAACUUGUGUCUUAUGUACAAAAUACUUGUUAAUUAUACUUGUAGUUUGUAAUUCAUAGUUACUUGUUUAUUUUUUUUGUAUUUCUUUGUUAAUAUUAAGUUACUAACUUUAUUUAAUGUAGGUACCGUCUGGCUGCAAGACGUAAAAUACAAGCGCUGCUUGGGAGGCAACCCAAUUCAGAAUAUAAUCAGAUUUGCUUUCUCUUCCCCUUUUACUCCUCCAUUUUCUUUUUGUUUUAGUAGUUAUUUUCGUAAAUUUCAUCCCUAUAUGCUUACUUAUUUCAUUGCAUGCUUUUAAUUGAUUACAUUAAGGAUAAUGCAAUAUUUAAGUGUGGGGGAAGGGAUUUAUAUUUUUGUCUUUCAUUUUGAGUCCUAUAAAUAUUUUUGAGUCCUAUAUUUUAAAAAAAAUAAUAAAAAAUAAAAAAUAAAAUAAAA